AUUGAACGCUGGCGGCAGGCCUAACACAUGCAAGUCGAGCGGAUGACGGGAGCUUGCUCCUUGAUUCAGCGGCGGACGGGUGAGUAAUGCCUAGGAAUCUGCCUGGUAGUGGGGGACAACGUUUCGAAAGGAACGCUAAUACCGCAUACGUCCUACGGGAGAAAGCAGGGGACCUUCGGGCCUUGCGCUAUCAGAUGAGCCUAGGUCGGAUUAGCUAGUAGGUGAGGUAAUGGCUCACCUAGGCGACGAUCCGUAACGGGUCUGAGAGGAUGAUCAGUCACACUGGAACUGAGACACGGUCCAGACUCCUACGGGAGGCAGCAGUGGGGAAUAUUGGACAAUGGGCGAAGGCCUGAUCCAGCCAUGCCGCGUGUGUGAAGAAGGUCUUCGGAUUGUAAAGCACUUUAAGUUGGGAGGAAGGGCAGUAAGCUAAUACCUUGCUGUUUUGACGUUACCGACAGAAUAAGCACCGGCUAACUCUGUGCCAGCCGCCGCGGUAACAC
rnacentral:rRNA from 1 species